rnacentral:miRNA from 1 species
AUGGACUGUCACCUGAGGAGC